rnacentral:tRNA from 1 species
UUUUAAUUAGUAUAUAUCAGUACAUUUACCUUCCAAGUAAAAAGUCCAAUCGAUUAUUACAUA